rnacentral:rRNA from 1 species
AGCGGCGGAGGGGGGGGUAAUCNUUGGGAACAUGCCUUGAGGUGGGGGACAACCCUUGGAAACGACUGCUAAUACCGCAUAAUGUCUACGGACCAAAGGGGGCUUCGGCUCUCGGCUUUAGAUUGGCCCAAGUGGGAUUAGCUAGUUGGUGAGGUAAUGGCUCACCAAGGCGACAAUCCCUAGCUGGUUUGAGAGGAUGAUCAGCCACACUGGGACUGAGACACGGCCCAAACUCCUACGGGAGGCAGCAGUGGGGAAUAUUGCACAAUGGGCGCAAGCCUGAUGCAGCCAUGCCGCGUGUGUGAAGAAGGCCUUCGGGUUGUAAAGCACUUUCAGUCAGGAGGAAAGCGUGGUGGUUAAUACCCAUCAUGUGUGACGUUACUGACAGAAGAAGCACCGGCUAACUCCGUGCCAGCAGCCGCGGUAAUACGGAGGGUGCGAGCGUUAAUCGGAAUUACUGGGCGUAAAGCGUACGCAGGCGGUUUGUUAAGCGAGAUGUGAAAGCCCCGGGCUCAACCUGGGAACUGCAUUUCGAACUGGCAAACUAGAGUGUGAUAGAGGGUGGUAGAAUUUCAGGUGUAGCGGUGAAAUGCGUAGAGAUCUGAAGGAAUACCGAUGGCGAAGGCAGCCACCUGGGUCAACACUGACGCUCAUGUACAAAAGCGUGGGGAGCAAACGGGAUUAGAUACCCCGGUAGUCCACGCCGA